GCAGUAAGGAAUAUUGGUCAAUGGACGCAAGUCUGAACCAGCCAUGCCGCGUGCAGGAAGACGGCCCUACGGGUUGUAAACUGCUUUUGCAGGGGAAUAAACCUUCGUAUGUAUACGAAGCUGAAUGUACUCUGAGAAUAAGGAUCGGCUAACUCCGUGCCAGCAGCCGCGGUAAUACGGAGGAUCCAAGCGUUAUCCGGAUUUAUUGGGUUUAAAGGGUGCGUAGGUGGUUUAUUAAGUCAGGGGUGAAAGACGGCAGCUUAACUGUCGCAGUGCCUUUGAUACUGAUGAACUUGAAUGAACUAGAGGUAGGCGGAAUGUGACAAGUAGCGGUGAAAUGCAUAGAUAUGUCACAGAACACCAAUUGCGAAGGCAGCUUACUAUGGUUUUAUUGACACUGAGGCACGAAAGCGUGGGGAUCAAACAGGAUUAGA
rnacentral:rRNA from 1 species